GUCACGUGACCAAAUCUGCGAAGUCACGUGACGAGGAACUAGCAGUAACCAGGCGUUGGGCAAAAAAGUCAAACUGGCGGAGCUCUUGGGAACUGGGGCGAUGGGCUCUUAGGAUCGGAGGAUUGGAACCAUCCAAUUUCUACCUGAAAUUCCUUAGUCUCUCCUGUGUUGGGGAAAUGAGUCCCCUCUCACCAUGUCCGGCUGGCGGCGACCCAGAUGCCAUGAGAUGGCCAUUUGAAGACAGGCCUGCUGGACAUCAGGUCACCUUGCCUUCAGAGACCUGGGCUUUCAGCUGUCCAUACCUGGCCCUGGUUGAUGGCGGCAUGCUGGGCAGUGCACGUGAAGAUGCACAUGAGACCGGGACUUGCUGUGUUGCCCAGGCUGGUCUUGAACUCCUGGUCUUAGGCAAUCAUACUGCUUUGGCCACCCAAAGCACUGGGAUUACAGGCAUGAACCACCACACCCAGCUCUUAAAACCACAGUAUUUCUAGGGAUUCUUUCUAUAGCAAGUAAUGAAAACUCAACUAAAAAUGGCUUAAGAGAAAGAAAAGGAAGAUAUUGAUUCAUAAUACUGGAAAGUCCAGUGUCAAAAUGUCUUCAGGGGCUACUGGAGGCUGUGCUUCUUGAAUGAGAGGACAAGCCAAGAAGGAACACAUGGGGCACAACAGGUAGGAAUCUAACACAGGAGAGUGGUGAAGGGACUCUAGGGUAAGGGUGAUGGGAGAGUCCAGAAUGACAGUUAUGAACUAGGUGCAGAAGGAACCACGUCUAGCCUGAAGAAGCGGGACACCAGGACUCCAAGGAGAGACACACUGAGGGCUUCCAUCACCACCGUCCCCACUGCCAUCACGCUAACUUUUAAAUCAAGGACUCAAUACCCAAAGUCUGGCCCGGAUUUUUCCUCUGUACUUACCUUAUUUUGACCACAUGCUGAUAAAGUUCCUGCUCAUUCCUCCGAUGCUCUGAUACUUGAUCUGCUGUGGGUGUUGUCUAGAAAUGUUCUGCCUUGACCUCUUCUGGGAAGUGGACGGGAAGUCGUGAUGAGCAGAAUAUACAGAACAGCCAUCUCCUUGUGACUAUGUCCUGGCCAAACAUCUAAAGCCCGGCCCAUUCUCCAGUGCUACCGUAUGUCUCACCUGUGCUGAGCCCAGUGACUCCCAGUGUUACUCACCAUCUGACUCAAUGAUUUUCCCAUAAAAGGCUCUUAUAAAUGCUUAGGGAAGCUGAAGCCAGACAAUGACCGAGAGGCUGUUCAGUUUAUCUUCUCCUGAGCCUUCCUCAAACAGUGGUAACAUCACCCUUUCCUUAUUCUUCUAGAUUGGUGCUUGCUGCUCAGUUUUUCAAAACUGAGUCAUGCUGUUUAGGGAUGUAUAUAUUGGUGGAAAACUCUAAAGGAAAUAGGAGAAUGAUUAACAUAAGUCAUCAUCGUGGUCAUCACUGUGGGUGGAGAAGAGACCACAGUUGGGGAGGGAUAAGCAGAGGUUUCUAAAGGACUGGUUAUGUUUUAUAUCUUAAACUGGGUGGAUGAUUAUUUACCUUAUUAUUAUAAUAUUAGGUUGGUGCAAAAGUAAUUGUGGCUUUUGCCAUUACUUUUAAUUUGCCAUUACUUUUAAAAUUUUAUCCAUCCUUCUGUUUGUAUGAUGCAUUUUACAACAAACCAUUUUGAAAAUCAGGUGUUGUUACUCAAUAAAAGGGGAAGUCAAUGAAACAAGUAGAAA